rnacentral:rRNA from 1 species
UACGUAGGGCGCAAGCGUUAUCCGGAAUUAUUGGGCGUAAAGAGCUCGUAGGCGGUUUGUCGCGUCUGCCGUGAAAGUCCGGGGCUCAACCCCGAGCCUGCAGUCGAUACGGGCAGACUAGAGUGCGGUAGGGGGAGACUGGAAUUCCUGGUGUAGCGGUGAAAUGCGCAGAUAUCAGGAGGAACACCGGUGGCGAAGGCGGGUCUCUGGGCCGUAACUGACGCUGAGGAGCGAAAGCGUGGGGGAGCAAACAGG